AAGAAACCAACAGGGAUUGCCUCAGUAACGGCGAGUGAAGCGGCAACAGCGCAGAUUUGAAAUCUAGCCUUUGGCUCGAGUUGUAAUCUGUAGAUGAGUCUUUGGGUUACGUGCCGUCUAAGUUCCCUGGAAUGGGGCGCCAUAGAGGGUGAGAGCCCCGUACCGACGUGCGCCGCGCCUGUUUAAAGCUCAUUCGAAGAGUCGAGUAGUUUGGAAAUGCUGCUCUAAUUGUGGGGUAAAUCUCCCAUAAGGCUAAAUAUUGGCCAGAGACCGAUAGCGCACAAGUAGCGUGAGCGAAAGAUGAAAAGAGCCUUGAAUAAGGGCGUCAAAAAGUAUGUGAAAUUGUUAUGGGGGAAGCGCUUAGUGCCAGACGUGGUGGCAGUUGGUUACCCGGCGUUCUUCGCCGGCGCACUCUUCUGUCUCCAGGCCAGCAUCGGUUCGGUUUGGGGCUCAAUGUCGUAGGGAACGUGGCUCCUCGGAGUGUUAUAGCCUUGCGGCGACGUCCCGGACCGGACCGAGGUUCGCGCAUCUGCUCGGAUGCUGGCGUAAUGGCCCUCAGCGACCCGUCUUGAAACACGGACCAAGGAGUUGACCUAGCACGCGAGUGUUUGGGUGUUAAGCCCUCACGCGCAGUGAAAGCGAACGCAGGUGGGAGCCUCGGCGCACCAUCGACCGAUCCUGAAGUUUACGGAUGGAUUUGAGUAGGAGCGUGUUGGGUCUGACCCGAAAGAAGGUGAACUAUGCAUGAAUAGGGUGAAGCCAGAGGAAACUCUGGUGGAGGCUCGCAGCGGUUCUGACGUGCAAAUCGAUCGUCAAAUUUGUGCAUGGGGGCGAAA
rnacentral:rRNA from 1 species